rnacentral:rRNA from 1 species
AGCAGUCGCCACGGGAAUACGGAGGGUGCAAGCGUUAUCCGGAUUUAUUGGGUUUAAAGGGUCCGUAGGCGGAUCUGUAAGUCAGUGGUAAAAUCUCACAGCUUAACUGUGAAACUGCCAUUGAUACUGCAGGUCUUGAGUAAAUUUGAAGUGGCUGGAAUAAGUAGUGUAGCGGUGAAAUGCAUAGAUAUUACUUAGAACACCAAUUGCGAAGGCAGGUCACUAAGAUUUAACUGACGCUGAUGGACGAAAGCGUGGGGAGCGAACAGGAUUAGAUACCCCAGUAGUCCCUGUCUCUUAUAC